UCCGUAGGUGAACCUGCGGAAGGAUCAUUAGUGAAUAUAGGAUGUCCAACUUAACUUGGAGUCCGAACUCUCACUUUCUAACCCUGUGCAUUUGUUUGGGAUAGUAGCCUCUCGGGGUGAACUCCUAUUCACUUAUAAACACAAAGUCUAUGAAUGUAUUUAAUUUAUAACAAAAUAAAACUUUCAACAACGGAUCUCUUGGCUCUCGCAUCGAUGAAGAACGCAGCGAAAUGCGAUAAGUAAUGUGAAUUGCAGAAUUCAGUGAAUCAUCGAAUCUUUGAACGCACCUUGCGCUCCAUGGUAUUCCGUGGAGCAUGCCUGUUUGAGUGUCAUGAAUACUUCAACCCUCCUCUUUUCUAGUGAAAGAGAAGGUGCUUGGUUUCUGAGCGUUUUGCUGGCCUCACGGUCGAGCUCGCUCGUAAUGCAUUAGCAUCCGCAAUCGAACUUCGGAUUGACUUGGCGUAAUAGACUAUUCGCUGAGGAAUUCUAAUCUUCGGAUUAGAGCCGGGUUAGGUUAAAGGAAGCUUCUAAUCCUAAUGUCUAUAUUUUAAGAUUAGAUCUCAAAUCAGGUAGGACUACCCGCUGAACUUAAGCAUAUCAAUAAGCGGAGGAAAAGAAACUAACAAGGAUUCCCCUAGUAGCGGCGAGCGAAGCGGGAAGAGCUCAAAUUUAUAAUCUGGCACCUUCGGUGUCCGAGUUGUAAUCUCUAGAAGUGUUUUCCGCGUUGGACCGCGCAUAAGUCUGUUGGAAUACAGCGGCACAGUGGUGAGACCCCCGUAUGUGGUGCGGACGCCCAGCGCUUUGUGAUACACUUUCGAAGAGUCGAGUUGUUUGGGAAUGCAGCUCAAAUUGGGUGGUAAAUUCCAUCUAAAGCUAAAUAUUGGCGAGAGACCGAUAGCGAACAAGUACCGUGAGGGAAAGAUGAAAAGCACUUUGGAAAGAGAGUUAACAGUACGUGAAAUUGUUGGAAGGGAAACGCUUGAAGUAAUCUAGAUGCAU
rnacentral:rRNA from 1 species